UACGAAGGGGCUAGCGUUGCUCGGAAUCACUGGGCGUAAAGGGUGCGUAGGCGGGUCUUUAAGUCAGGGGUGAAAUCCUGGAGCUCAACUCCAGAACUGCCUUUGAUACUGAAGAUCUUGAGUUCGGGAGAGGUGAGUGGAACUGCGAGUGUAGAGGUGAAAUUCGUAGAUAUUCGCAAGAACACCAGUGGCGAAGGCGGCUCACUGGCCCGAUACUGACGCUGAGGCACGAAAAGCGUGGGGAGCAAACAGGG
rnacentral:rRNA from 1 species